rnacentral:lncRNA from 1 species
GAAUUGUCAUCUGAUGCCACGGAAAACUGGAAAUCUCCAUCCUUGAAAGGGUGGAUGUAGCCAAAAAUCCUUAGCCCGUAGUUCUUCCACUUGGGUGACACCGCCAGCUUCUUCACCGUGGUGCGGGUGUGUGGAAAGAGUGGAAAAUGGAGAUUCUUCCUUAGGUGCCUCACGGCUCCUCCACACCAGUCUUCAAAAACAUGCAGGUUUGCUUUCCCCUUGUACUUCUCAUCCCAGGGCAGAGCCUGCUUGGUCAGGUUGAGUUUGGGGCGCCUGGCAGCUCGUGAGCCUCUGGAAAACCAUUCGUUCCAAUCCUGCCCAUCGUUCUGCUCCUCCUCGUGGCUCUCACUGGAGUCCUCGGCCUUCCUCUGCCGUGCCGCUGCCUGGGCCACCGCCGGCCGCCUGCCGGGGUCCAUCACCUCCCCCAGCCGCUCCCCAUCUCUGCCGUAGGUGAAGGGCAGGCGGAGGGCGCGGCCCUGGCGCACCAGGCUGAUGUGCAGGUAGGUGAACCACGCGGCCGAGGUGAGCAGCGCCAGCAGCAGCAGCAGCUUCAGCUGCUUGCGGAUCUUCUUCACCGGGAGCCGCGGCAUCACCGCCCGCCGCCGCCGCCGCGGCCCGCCGCCGGCCUAGCCCCGGCCCAUCGGGCCCCCCUCCCCCGGCCGCCCGCCGCUACGGGCCGGCGGCGGGGGGCGGCGGCGGCAGCUCGUGGCCGCCCGGUGCAUCGCCGCCGCCCCGUCGCGCCGGCAGCGGACACGGGCGGGCGGCGAAUGAAUGGAGCGGCGGCGGCGGGAGCGGAGGGAGGGG